rnacentral:rRNA from 1 species
CGCGUAGGUGGUUUGUUAAGUUGGAUGUGAAAGCCCCGGGCUCAACCUGGGAACUGCAUCCAAAACUGGCAAGCUAGAGUACGGUAGAGGGUGGUGGAAUUUCCUGUGUAGCGGUGAAAUGCGUAGAUAUAGGAAGGAACACCAGUGGCGAAGGCGACCACCUGGACUGAUACUGACACUGAGGUGCGAAAGCGUGGGGAGUAAACA